rnacentral:rRNA from 1 species
AACGAACGCUGGCGGCAUGCCUAACACAUGCAAGUCGAACGGGAUCCUAGCUUGCUAGGUGAGAGUGGCGGACGGGUGAGUAACACGUGGGAAUCUGCCUUUUGGUUCGGGAUAACCGCGGGAAACUGCGGCUAAUACCGAAUGCCCUCGAGAGAGGAAAGAUUUAUCGCCAGAAGAGGAGCCCGCGUCCGAUUAGGUAGUUGGUGGGGUAAAGGCCUACCAAGCCGACGAUCGGUAGCUGGUCUGAGAGGAUGAUCAGCCACACUGGGACUGAGAUACGGCCCAGACUCCUACGGAGGCAGCAGUGGGGAAUAUUGGACAAUGGGGCAACCCUGAUCCAGCAAUGCCGCGUGAGUGAUGAAGGCCUUAGGGUGUAAAGCUCUUUGCCAGGAGAUGAUGACUGUACC